rnacentral:siRNA from 1 species
UAUUCAGCAAAGGUGUGUGCUU